CCCAGACUCCUACGGGAGGCAGCAGUGGGGAAUAUUGCACAAUGGGGGGAACCCUGAUGCAGCGACGCCGCGUGGGUGAAGGAGCACCUCGGUGCGUAAAGCCCUAUCGGCAGGGAAGAAAAGCGAACAGGUUCGCCUGGACGGUACCUGAGUAAGAAGCUCCGGCUAAAUACGUGCCAGCAGCCGCGGUAAUACGUAUGGAGCAAGCGUUAUCCGGAUUUACUGGGUGUAAAGGGAGCGCAGGCGGCGCGCCAAGUCUGAUGUGAAACCCCGGGGCUCAACCCCGGGCAUGCAUUGGAAACUGGCGGGCUGGAGUGCCGGAGAGGUAAGCGGAAUUCCUAGUGUAGCGGUGAAAUGCGUAGAUAUUAGGAGGAACACCAGUGGCGAAGGCGGCUUGCUGGACGAUGACUGACGUUGAGGCUCGAAAGCGUGGGGAGCAAACAGGAUUAGAUACCCUAGUA
rnacentral:rRNA from 1 species